rfam:Babjeviella inositovora NRRL Y-12698 unplaced genomic scaffold BABINscaffold_5, whole genome shotgun sequence.
AUGUUAUGAUGAUAAAAUUCUCAGCUCACUCAGAGUGUUCACUAUGACUGAUAAACCUUUAUUUUCCAACCAAGAUCUGUUCUGAUUCACAU